UGACAAAAGACAAUUUUAAUAAAUAUGUAGGAGCUGUGCUCUAGAUGUUAGCAGGGCUGUUAAAGGGUGGAGUUUAUUUGUAGUUAAAAAUAGGAACUGAUAAAUUCAACUUCAUAGAUAAGAAGUGAGAAGACAUUCUCACAGCUGAAGGUGAAAGCAUCACAUUCUCUGUCCAAGCUCCUGCUGUGCUGAAUUUAUAUUCUGAAUUCCAAAAAAGCCUAAGGGAUUCUCAUAGAUGGAUUGCAAAAUUUCCUCUUUCAACUUUCGACUUUGAAAUCCCUUUUU